rnacentral:lncRNA from 1 species
CGCGGUUGCACGUCGGCCCCAGCCCUGAGGAGCCGGACCGAUGUGGAAACUGCUGCCCGCCGCGGGCCCGGCAGGAGGAGAACCAUACAGACUUUUGACUGGCGUUGAGUACGUUGUUGGAAGGAAAAACUGUGCCAUUCUGAUUGAAAAUGAUCAGUCGAUCAGCCGAAAUCAUGCUGUGUUAACUGCUAACUUUUCUGUAACCAACCUGGUAUUCAAACAGAUGAAAUCCCUGUAUUGACAUUAAAAGAUAAUUCUAAGUAUGGUACCUUUGUUAAUGAGGAAAAAAUGCAGAAUGGCUUUUCCCGAACUUUGAAGUCGGGGGAUGGUAUUACUUUUGGAGUGUUUGGAAGUAAAUUCAGAAUAGAGUAUGAGCCUUUGGUUGCAUGCUCUUCUUGUUUAGAUGUCUCUGGGAAAACUGCUUUAAAUCAAGCUAUAUUGCAACUUGGAGGAUUUACUGUAAACAAUUGGACAGAAGAAUGCACUCACCUUGUCAUGGUAUCAGUGAAAGUUACCAUUAAAACAAUAUGUGCACUCAUUUGUGGACGUCCAAUUGUAAAGCCAGAAUAUUUUACUGAAUUCCUGAAAGCAGUUGAGUCCAAGAAGCAGCCUCCACAAAUUGAAAGUUUUUACCCACCUCUUGAUGAACCAUCUAUUGGAAGUAAAAAUGUUGAUCUGUCAGGACGGCAGGAAAGAAAACAAAUCUUCAAAGGGAAAACAUUUAUAUUUUUGAAUGCCAAACAGCAUAAGAAAUUGAGUUCCGCAGUUGUCUUUGGAGGUGGGGAAGCUAGGUUGAUAACAGAAGAGAAUGAAGAAGAACAUAAUUUCUUUUUGGCUCCGGGAACGUGUGUUGUUGAUACAGGAAUAACAAACUCACAGACCUUAAUUCCUGACUGUCAGAAGAAAUGGAUUCAGUCAAUAAUGGAUAUGCUCCAAAGGCAAGGUCUUAGACCUAUUCCUGAAGCAGAAAUUGGAUUGGCGGUGAUUUUCAUGACUACAAAGAAUUACUGUGAUCCUCAGGGCCAUCCCAGUACAGGAUUAAAGACAACAACUCCAGGACCAAGCCUUUCACAAGGCGUGUCAGUUGAUGAAAAACUAAUGCCAAGCGCCCCAGUGAACACUACAACAUACGUAGCUGACACAGAAUCAGAGCAAGCAGAUACAUGGGAUUUGAGUGAAAGGCCAAAAGAAAUCAAAGUCUCCAAAAUGGAACAAAAAUUCAGAAUGCUUUCACAAGAUGCACCCACUGUAAAGGAGUCCUGCAAAACAAGCUCUAAUAAUAAUAGUAUGGUAUCAAAUACUUUGGCUAAGAUGAGAAUCCCAAACUAUCAGCUUUCACCAACUAAAUUGCCAAGUAUAAAUAAAAGUAAAGAUAGGGCUUCUCAGCAGCAGCAGACCAACUCCAUCAGAAACUACUUUCAGCCGUCUACCAAAAAAAGGGAAAGGGAUGAAGAAAAUCAAGAAAUGUCUUCAUGCAAAUCAGCAAGAAUAGAAACGUCUUGUUCUCUUUUAGAACAAACACAACCUGCUACACCCUCAUUGUGGAAAAAUAAGGAGCAGCAUCUAUCUGAGAAUGAGCCUGUGGACACAAACUCAGACAAUAACUUAUUUACAGAUACAGAUUUAAAAUCUAUUGUGAAAAAUUCUGCCAGUAAAUCUCAUGCUGCAGAAAAGCUAAGAUCAAAU